GUGGGGCAGAAGAAAGGGGCCGUGUGCGCCCACAUACUGGAGGAUCAACAUUAUCAUGGCAACCCUGAGGAGGCUGUGAGAGUCUCUGGGGUCCUUGCCGGCCUGCAGAAAAUCAAGCUUUGAGCGGGAAGCUUCGAGGAGACACAGUGUCACAAUUACAAGGUUCCAGCAUUUGGAGGCAAACAUGAAGCUCCAUCCUCUCCAAUUCUGGGGCAACCGUGUGGAGAUGAUCAAAAUGCUUCACCUUCAAAACUUUCAAAGGAAGAGUUAAUACAGAGUAUGGAUCGUGUAGAUCGAGAAAUUGCAAAAGUAGAACAGCAGAUCCUUAAACUGAAAAAGAAACAAGUAAAAGUCUUUGCCUAAUAUAUUCUAAGAAUGUAUUUUUU
rnacentral:lncRNA from 1 species